rnacentral:rRNA from 1 species
AUGGACUCUGCCGCGGCGUCGUCCCUCGUCGUCAGCCCCGCCUCCGACGACCGCUUCUGGGACGGCCUGCGCACCCGCGUCGACACCAUCCUCGAGGACCGCCGCCUCGUCGCCUCCGCCGCGUCCACGUGCGCGGUGGCGUCCGGGCGCCCCAAGCGGCUCCGGGAGGACUCGCUGAUGCUGGUCCGCGGCCUCGACUCCGUCGCCGCCUCGCUCGCGCAGCUCUCCGACACCCUCACCGCCGCCCAGAAGGGCGUGAACGCUCUGGCGAUGUGCUCGUCCCAGGCGAGGGAACGCGAGAGGGGAGAGGAGGAGCCCGACGCCAAGCGCCACUGCACCGCCUCGACGGAGUUCGCGACCCUCGAAGCCCAGAAAGACGUCAAUGAAGGUUCAGACAACGGCGCCGGGGACGCGAAACCGCGCGAGGGGCCCGACGGCGACGCCGUCCUGGCCUCCGCCGAGGUCGCGCAGAGCACCAACCUGAAGCGGGCGCGCAGUCUGGCGGUGUCGAUGGCGGGCAGGGCGGCGAACCUGGCCCGGGAGCUGACGACCAUCAAGUCGGAGCUGCGGUUCAUGCAGGAGAGGUGCGGCCUGCUGGAGGAGGAGAACAGGCGGCUCCGGGACGGCUACGACGACGGCGGCGCCGCCCCCGAGGAAGACGACCUGGUUCGGCUGCAGCUGGAGGCGCUGCUGGCGGAGAAGUCGCGGCUGGCGCAGGAGAACGCGAACCUGGCCCGGGAGAACCAGAGCCUGGUGCAGCUGGUGGAGUACCACCAGCUCACCGCCCAGGAGGAAGAAGAGGAGGAGCUGGAGGACCACCUCCUCACCGCGUCCUACGAGGAGGCCGUCAUGCAGGGGAUGCGGCUCGACUUCUCGUCGCCGCUCGGCAAGAUCGACGGCGAGUUCGACGGGGUUCCGGCCACCCCCGGCAGCAAGCUCGGCGUGCUGGUGUCACCUGAUGAGUGA